rnacentral:rRNA from 1 species
UACGGGGGGGGCAAGCGUUGUUCGGAAUUACUGGGCGUAAAGGGCUCGUAGGCGGCCAACUAAGUCGGACGUGAAAUCCCCAGGCUCAACCUGGGAACUGCGUCCGAUACUGGAUGGCUUGAAUCCGGGAGAGGGAUGCAGAAUUCCAGGUGUAGCGGUGAAAUGCGUAGAUAUCUGGAGGAAUACCGGUGGCGAAGGCGGCAUCCUGGACCGGCAUUGACGCUGAGGGGC